rnacentral:rRNA from 1 species
CCUCCCAUCCGUGUCUAUUGUACCCUGUUGCUUCGGCGGGCCCGCCGCUUGUCGGCCGCCGGGGGGGCGCCUCUGCCCCCCGGGCCCGUGCCCGCCGGAGACCCCAACACGAACACUGUCUGAAAGCGUGCAGUCUGAGUUGAUUGAAUGCAAUCAGUUAAAACUUUCAACAAUGGAUCUCUUGGUUCCGGCAUCGAUGAAGAACGCAGCGAAAUGCGAUAACUAAUGUGAAUUGCAGAAUUCAGUGAAUCAUCGAGUCUUUGAACGCACAUUGCGCCCCCUGGUAUUCCGGGGGGCAUGCCUGUCCGAGCGUCAUUGCUGCCCUCAAGCCCGGCUUGUGUGUUGGGUCGCCGUCCCCCUCUCCGGGGGGACGGGCCCGAAAGGCAGCGGCGGCACCGCGUCCGAUCCUCGAGCGUAUGGGGCUUUGUCACAUGCUCUGUAGGAUUGGCCGGCGCCUGCCGACGUUUUCCAACCAUUCUUUCCAGGUUGACCUCGGAUCAGGUAGGGAUACCCGCUGAACUUAAGCAUAUCAAUAAGCGGA